rnacentral:SRP_RNA from 1 species
ACCCGGAUGAGUCCUGCACGACCAGCUCCCCGUGAAUCCCCCCAGAUCUUGACCGAAGCAAGGGUAGCGGGUUGAGCGGUGCGAUGCAGUAAGCUCAUCCACC